rnacentral:lncRNA from 1 species
AAUUAUUCAUUUCUCACCAAAAAGAGAGAAAGAUCUACGUUUAUACGAGUUGUUCUUCGACUUGGAGAGCCAUUCCUUAUAGUACUCGAUCUGUUGCCAAAUAACUUGAAGUUGAGAGUUGGCUCUAGCUAUAGAAGUUUCAAGCCUUUCUAAUUUCUUAGGAAUCCUUGCAUGCUAUCAUGGAAUUCAACUAGCGAGAGUGAAGCAGAUUAAUCAGCUACAAGUUGAAACUGAAUGUUUAAAGUUGGUGUUAGCUGUUGAGUCCAAGGCAACAGAUUAGUCUGAGUUGGGGUAUUUGAUGGAGGAUCUCAAAGCUAGUUUGCAACUAGCUUCAGUCACUUCUUUUGCUCAUAUUCGUAGAACAAUUAACAAACAAUGUUGCUCAGCUAGCCUUUAAUAACUUUGGUAAAUCUUUAUACCUAAACUUUACUUUCAAAUAAUCCAUGUCCUUUGAAUUUGACUAUAAUCUUAGAGAUCGACUCCUUGGUACAUGGCUACUUCCAUUGGAUAUGAAACUGGCUUCGAAUGUGUCAAUUUGAUGAAAUUAAAAAUCUUUGUUUUGGUCACUGACUCACGAAUAUAUGAACAUGAAAUUUGUGGAUACCUAGUUUUUAGGCAUAAAACAUAUCAAGUACUUGCAUUCUAGAUUGCUCUCUGCUCUACACAAGUUUACUAAUGCUCGGAAGUUUGAACUAAACUAGUCUAAGACGAUGAUGAAGACUCGUUUGAAUUUCAGUUUAUAACUCAGGAAAUCUUGAUCAGAAGGAAUUUUGCAAAUCUGGAGGCCUUGAGUGAGAACAUACAUUAUCAUUUUAUGGCAACUUGGAUUGCAUUAGGCUAAUAUCACACAGAUCCCCAAAGCUAGCCUCCAUACAUAACCAUUGUUGUCGCAACACCCUCCUAUUCUCCUCAGUUCUAUCAAAUCUGAAACAGUCAGCAGCUCUACUGAAAACCCUUCUUGCAUGCUCAAUAGAACGGUUCUCUACUGCCUCAAACUUUGCAUAAUCGAUCCACACCUUCACAUGAUUCGAACAUUCUAGUAGUCUCUCGAAAAGUUGUCUAGUCCUCUCAACCUCCCCCUCGGAUAUUUCAAACCUAAUGUAUGCCAUCCACACCUGUUCAUGACACUCCAGUUCCCCCCUGCUUGAUGCCUAGUUCGAAAAGUGCCCUCACUCGUUCUGUCUCCCCCAACUCUCUCUCAAACUCUUCAUACUGCACUCAACCGUCCCAAUUCUCCGGUUUCCAAAGCAAAUACUUCUUGAACAGUUUUCAACACCGAUUCACAUUCCCAAGCUUCAUCUCCAUAUCAAUGCACCUCCUAAAUAUCUUGUGUUUGGGUGCCACUCUCAUUGUAGUGCCGAGGAUCUCCCGCGCACCCUUGAGAUUCCUCUGUCGUAACUCCAACCCUGCAGCAAGAAGCCAUACUUUUGCAAAUGAGAACUUUUGAUGAGGAAUCACUGCAAGGCACUGCUCAUACACUUGUCUCGUUUGCGCCGGCGCUGCCUCUCCUCCGAGCCUCUCUUCAUAAGUUGCGUAAUAGAUCCACAUCUGAACAUACCGCCGCCAACGCAGCUUCCCAUCCCGGUAGCACUCCGGCACCAGAGGAACAUUAGCUACAGCUCGCCGAAACAGCUCUCUGAUUCGGUGCUUAUUGGCAGCAGCAGACUCUUCUAGCGCUAUGUAAGCGAGCCAAGAGUCCAAGUUCAGGGGAUUGUUGCGGACCUCAUCCUCAUAUUGAACCCUCUUCUGAUCCCUAAUCCGCCUCUCACAGCCACAACCUCGUCAUAUACCAUUUGGUUGGCUUCUGAAGGUUUCGGUCGUUCUGCAGAAUUUAGCUAUUUCCUACGCACAACACAAACUUAUUUAUACAGAAACCCUAAACCCUAAUAUCUAGGUCUCUUCUACUUGGCAUAGAAGCCUUCUCGUACAAGGAAAAGCUAGUCUUUAAUUAGCCUUGGCCCUUACCCCUCGAGAAAAAGGAAACCAUGCAACCAGACCUCAGUUUCGUAUAAAAAAGGCACAAAUAGAAACCAGAGCCCUCACUCUCGGUGUCACACCCUAAUUUUCAAAAAUAAUUUUUUAAAAAUUUGGACAUGAUAUAUCUCAAAAUAAUAUAAUCCCAAAACCUGUUCAACAAACUUCAUAGAAAACUAAACCUCAAUUGCGGAAAUGUAAAUGUCACACAACUCAAUACUGAGUUAAAUAUUACAUUUCCUUGUUUACAUAAACUUGAAAGUGAAGAAAAUGAAAACACUCACACGAGUUUAAUACUGUCUACCAAAUAUAAUACUAUAAAGUGCACAACAACUAAAACCCUGCCACUAUGCUUCCGCUUCAACCCUGCUGAUCAUCAUCACUUGCAGGUCUAACCCUUACACCAUGAAUUGGUGCACCGGGUUGUUAACAACAAACCCGGUAAGCUAAAAAGCUCGUAUGAGUAACUCCACAAAAUAACUCAAUAUUUCUAACAUCCAAAUAAAACACAUGAGCAAUUAAUUAAGAAAAAUAAAUAAUUCCACAAAUCCAACACUUUUACAAUUAACAUGUACCCAUGAGUCCUAGAUACCAAUAAAGUAUCUCCCAUGACCUACAACAAACACAUGUACCCAUGAGUCCUAGAUACUAAUAAGUAUCUCUCAUGACAUACAACAACAAUUUAUGUACCCAUGGGUCCCAGAUACUAAGAUAUCUCCCAUGACCUACACCGACAGACGAACUAGAGCUCUAUUCCUAACCGUAACCAAUUACCUUGCCAAAGGCUUGGAACCCAGUUUGACUGUCAAAUAUCAAAUAACAGAAUAAUAAUAGCAUCAUAACCGUAACCAAUCACCCGAUUAAAGGCUUAGAAUCCGGUUUGACUAUUUAAACAACGAUUCACAAUAUUAAAAUAUCAUCAUCAACAAUACAAAUAGCACAACAUAAAAUUAUAUCCUUCCACAAAGAUAUAUUUAUAUGAACAAACAUAGAUAUUCCUACAAGAAUAAUCUAUCAAAUAACCAAAAAUAUUAUGAUCAAAAGAACCUUAAAAAUAAUCAUAUAAUAGGAAAACUUGUUUUAUCUUACCUAUGAGCCGUUGGCGAUCAAACUCAUAUAUUUUAAAACAAUAAUAUUAAAUUCAACAUCAUCACCAAAUGACCAUAAUAAAUUCAGUCAAAUUAUGAAUCUUGGUGAGAUUUACUCACCUAAAUAUUCCCGCUGCGUCUUCCACACAACACAAGAGCCAAGCCAACACACUUCACAAGUCACCUAUAAUUACACAAUUAAUAACCUUAGUAACCAAAGUACUAUAGGAUAUCAAACACCCUUAAACCAACCCUUAGCCCAAAGGAGGACAACCUUCCAAGGUCAUUGAAUUUAACGACACAAAACUGUUGCUUCUAAUUCCCAAAACAGAAACUCAAAACCUUGCACAAGUCUAAGAUUAACCUAGAACCUAAUAGACAAUCCUUGCUCACAACCUAGAAUUUUCACCUCUCAAUAAGGUCACAACAACAAGAGCUAGCUAACCACAGAAAACUAAAGCCACAAACACUGCCGGACGCGCUGGCGGCGGCGAGUGGGCCCCACGAGCCACCCUGAAACGGAGCAAAAAGAACAUCCAACAAACCAAACUCGAAGAUCAAAGCAAGAGGAACAAACUUUGUACUUGUGACUAGACUUGAAUCGACCUGGAAUUGCUCCAAACACUCAUCACAAAACCGAGCUCCAAAACUGAAAAUCAAGGUUGCAAACUUAAAACUGAGUUGAUUGCUUUGCACAAUGACACACAGAUGGAUAAGGCAAGCAAAACUCACCUAAAGAUGCCCCUCGUCGUCACCGUAAACGGCAGUUUCAACCUAGGCAGCACCGCGUGUUCCAACAGAGAGAGAUGUCCUCUGCUGGCGUCGUCUAUGGUCAACUGCCAUGCAACGCCGUCCUAGGAUUGAAGGCGAUGGUCCUGCGAACCCGACGAGACCAACGGUGUCCCGAACGGUGGCCGGACGGCUACGUUUGGCGUCGGAGAACACAGAUGGCUCGGGGAGGAAGAGAGAGAAACUGAAGGGGCUUUGUGCAAUUUUAGGGUUUCUAAAAAAAACCCACACACAUUUUUCUACUUAUACACUUUCCAAAACCGGAUACUAACUUACUCUGACCGUAACUUUCUCAUACGACAUCCGAUUUACGCGUGCUGCAUAUCUACGAACUCGUAUCGCCAAACUCUACAACUUUCAUGAAGGAAGUUUUUGAAAAUAACUUACGAAUAAGAAAGUAAACUUUUGGCCACUUAGAAAUAAAACACCUUAAAAUAAUUGACUCCCGAAAACUUCAACUUCGCAUAAAAAAAUAAGAAUUUCCAUAAAUAAUCCUCAAUUAAUUUAGGAAAAUAAUACAAGAAAAUUGAUAUGAAAAUCUAGGGUAUUACAAUCUACCCUCCUUAAAGGAAUUUCGCCCCGAAAUUCAAGUACACUAACCCAAAAACAACUUGGGGUAUUUAGCCCUCAUGUCCGACUCUAACUCCCAAGAUGCAUCUCCCUCAUCAUGGUAACUCCAACACACCUUAACCAAAUCGACUUCCUUCCUUCGAAGCCUCUUGGUUGACCUAUCCAAGAUUUGAACCGGUUCAACAACAAAGGUUGCAUCCGCAUUCACCUUGUUAGUUCCAUAGUCAAUCACAUGUGACGCAUCCAGAAUAUACUUCCUCAACAAGAACACAUGAAACACAUUGUGUACCUCGGACAUGAUAGGAGGUACGGCAAGCCGAUAAGCCAAACCCCUACCUUCUCCAAAAUCUCAAAAGGCCCUACAUACCUUGGAGCAAACUUCCCCUUCUUGCCAAAUCUCACUACCCCUUUUGUAGGUGAGACUUUCAAGAACACAUGAUCUCCAACAUCAAACUCUACUUGCCUCCUCUUCAAGUCGGCAUAGCUCUUUUGCCUGCUUCGCACCGUUCGGAUCCUAUCUUGGAUAAUAGAGACAUCAGUCAUCUCUUGGACAAUAUCAGGACCCAACAACUCGCUAUCACCCACCUCCGCCCAACAAACAAGAGAUCUACACAGCCUACCAUAGAGUGCCUCAUAUGAUGCCAUGCUGAUACUAGAGUGAUAACUAUUGUUGUAGCCAAACUCAAUCAAUUGGAGGUGAUCCUCCCAACUUCCCUUGAAGUCCAUGACACAAGCCCACACCAUAUAUAUCUUCUAACACUUGAUUCACCCGCUCAGUCUACCUAUCAGUUUGAGGGUGGAAUACUGUACUCAUGUCUAAAGUAGUCCUCAUGGCUUUCUGAAAUCCACCCCAAAACUUUGAAGUGAAUCAGGGGUCUCGAUCAGAAACAAUCGAAGUAGGCACUCCAUGAAGUCUCACUAUCUCCUUCACAUACAACUUACACAAGGCAUCUACCGUGUAUGUCAUCGAUACAGGAAGGAAAUGUGCUGACUUCGUCAACCGGUCAACAAUCACCCAUAUAGCAUCAUGUCCAAGCUUGGACUUAGGUAGUCCAGUCACAAAGUCCAUAGAAAUCUACUCCCACUUCCAAGUAGGAAUAGGUAAUGGCUUCAACAUUCUCCAGGUCUCUGAUGCUCCGCCUUCACCUACUGACAAGUGAGACACUUGGACACAUAAUCUGCUACAUCUUUCUUCAUCCCAUUCCACCAAAACUGCCUACGUAAAUCUUUAUACAUCUUGGUGCUCUAUGGGUGCACCGUAUAACCAAAUCGAUGUGCCUCCCAAGGGAUCUUCCCUUUGACAUCAAUAUUCUCUGGAACACACAAUCUCAAUCUAUACCUCAAUCCACCAUCUAAUCCAAUCGACCACUUAGAAGGACAAUCAUCCAUCAAGUCCACCACUAACUCUGCCAACUUUGCACGUGAGAACUCAUCAUGUGUUUGUCCCUGAAUGAUCCUGGAAAUCAAAGUAGGUUGCACAGAGGUGCUUCUAAGGAAGAUCCCCUGCUCCCCGUCUGAUGACAGAAUGUCAAACUAAGAUGUAGUCUCCAACAUGAGCCACUCCUGUACCAUGAUAGAGGCGACUAUACCCCUAGGCUUUCUGCUCAAUGCUCCGUCACUACAUUGGCUUUCCCGGGGUGAUAGUCCAAUGUGAAGUCAUAGUCCUUAAGGAGCUCCAUCCACCUCCUCUGCCUCAUGUUCAAAUCCUUCUGAGAGAAUAGAUACUUCAAACUCUUAUGAUUAGAAAAAAGUUAGAACUUCUCUCCAUACAAGUAAUGCCUCCAAAUCUUCAAAUUAGCAAAUACCACCGCAGCUAGCUCUAGGUCAUGAGUGGGGUAAUUCUUCUCAUGAAUAUUUAACUGCCUAGAGCCAUAUGCCACAACGCUGCCAAGCUGCAUCAACACACAACCCAAACCCUGAUGAGAUGCAUCGCUAUAGACGACAUAGUCAACACCACUAAUGGGAAUGACCAACACUGGGACGGUAGUCAACCUAGUCUUCAACUUCUCAAAUGCCUUCUCACACUCCUCGGUCCACACAAACUUGGCAUUCUUCUUUGUCAACUUGGUCAAGGAAGAAGCAAUACUAGAAAAUCCCUCAAUAAAUCUCCGGUAGUAUCCUGCCAACCCAAGGAAACUACGAAUCUCCGUAGGAGUAAUGGGAUGACUCCAAUUCAACACUGCCUCCACCUUAGAGGGAUCCACCAAAAUCCCCUCCUUUGAUACCACAUGACCAAGGAACUUGACUUCUUCCUUCCAAAACUCACACUUCCCGAACUUAGCAUACAACUUGGCCUCCUUAAGAACCUGUAGUACGAUCCGUAGAUGCCUACCAUGAUCCUCCAAGGUCUUGGAGUAAAUCAAAAUAUCAUCCACAAAUACUACCACAAACACAUCUAGAUAAGGACUGAAGAUGCGGUUCAUCAAAUCCAUAAAAGCAAUAGGCGCAUUGGGUAGACCAAAUGGCAUAACAACAAACUCAUAAUGCCCAUAUCUAGUCCUGAAAGCGGUUUUCUGAAUAUCCUCCUCCUUCACCCUCAACUGGUAAUAACCAGACCUCAGGUCAAUCUUAGAGAACACCGUAGCACCUCUAAGCUGAUCAAACAAAUCAUCAAUCCUAGGCAAAUGAUACCUAUUCUUGAUGGUCACCUUGUUCAACUCCCGAUAGUCCACACACAACCGAAGUGUAUCAUCCUUCUUCCUCACAAACAACACUGGUGCACCCCAAGGCGAGGUGCUAGUUCUAAUGAAUCCCUGCUCGAGAAGACCCUCAAUCUGAACCUUCAUCUCCUGAAGUUCAGUUCUCCCCAUCUAAUAAGGAGUAUUUGAUACAGGUGAAGUACCUGGUACCACAUCUAUAGCAAACUCCACUACCCUCUUAGGAGGUAACCCUAGAAUCUCCUGGAACACAUCACUAAACUCAAAGACUACUGCAAUGUCCACAAUACCCACGGUACCACUUGUAGCCUCGAUUUAGCACUCCUUCCCACAUGGCUGUGUCUGACCAAUGACAACGAUAGCAAAAGCUCGACUGUUUAGGAAUGUGGAAUGACACCACCAUGUAAAAACAAUCAAUCAAAGCAUGGUUUGGCCUUAGCCAAUCCACUCCCAAAAUCACAUCAUAGGAGCGGUCUGGAAUCACAAUUAGAGAUGCAAAGAACUCCUUACCACUAAUCAUUAUAGGACAUGCAUCACACAACAUGCCAAGCUCAAUAGAAACACCGAGAGGCGAAGAAACACAUAAAAAUCUAGUAAGCUGUGGCAAAGUCACACCUAAAGCCCUCACCACCGAGCUAGAUAUGAAGAAAUGGGUUGCCCCCGUAUCAAACAAAACUGUAGCAAGCAGAUUAAAAACAAGAAAUGGUACCUUCCACUCUUGUACCCCGCUGUUCAAUGGCAUACACCCUGGCCUGUGCUGGAGGUAACUAUCUCUGCUGAUUACCUUGUCCUCCAGCCUGAGGUCGUGUGCAAUCCCUGGCAAAGUGACUUGCCUGCCCACAAGUGAAGCAUCCUUGCCUCCUGGGCUUCGUGCAUGCCGAAGAGAAGUGGCUUGACUCACCACAAGUGAAACACCUCAAGGGUGUUGCCUGCCUAAUAGGUGGAGCCCUAAUAGGUGCAGUUGCUGGUCUAGUUGGAGCCAGCUGAUGAGUCAUCUGCCUCUUCCCGUAACCACCUCUAUGGUCUCAUGAACUGCUGCUCCCUACUAGGGCCUUGCCCUUCCCCUGAACAUCUCUCUGCCUCUUGAUGUGCUCGUAUUUUCCUAUAUUUUUACGCCCUUUAACCUUGAUAUUUGUGUAUAGUUCUCCUUGUUUUUAGUCCAUUUACUUGGUUUAGUGUGUUCGUAGGUUUGAAUAGCAAAGAUGAGGAAAAGAAGCAGAAAAUGAGCACAUAAGGAUUGAAGGUCAUUUGCAGUCCUAACAACUGAACCAGUCUUGAUAGAACAUCCAACUUUGAGGAUUUAACUGUACUGAUCCAGGAAGAACCAGAGAGUGAGCCUUAUAUGCACGAAAAACCCUAAAUGUCCACUUUCUACAGAAUUUUACGGUUCGUGAUUUCGAUAUUCCUAGAGGGAGAUAUGGCCGUUUAAGUACAGGCUGUUCGGUACGCGCGAAUCUACAACAUGUUUCCAAGAGCUCGAGUUUUCAAGACCUGAAUGACCUAGCAAAAUUCCGGGAAAAUUAAUAUAGCAUUAUGGGCCUCUUGAGAGUCCAACACAUGUUUUCCUUGGACUUUUUGGGCUAUUUCAUUAAAGAGUUGCCAAAGUCUGAAGCAACAAGGAAAAAGACAUCAUAUAAAAGGAGGUUUAUCAAACACAAAAGGGGGGAUCAAUCCAUAUCAGAAUUUCAUCCAAGAAGCUGCUGCCAUCCACCGUCUUCUACUUCCAUCUACAUUCAAUUAGUUUCUUUAUGUUUUUAAGAGCUCAUAAUAUGUUUGCUUUGAACAUGAGUAGCUAAACUCUUUCUCUAGGGCUAGGAUGAAGCCCUAGCAUGAUUGUCUAUGUCAGGACCCACCCUAAAUUUCACCUUGAAACCUGAAGUAAAUCCUGUUGGGACCACAUUCAAGAAAAAUUUACCAAAAAAUCGGCAUAACCUCGCUUGAAAAUGGACGACCCUUCCUACUAAUACCUGCAUACACUUCAAAGAAUCCAUCUAUAACCCUCUACUCCUGGAGCCUACAUGCUCCCCAAAUCACAAUAUCUCCCAAUUUAUUUACUAACUUUAAUAAGACAAUCUCACAACCAACAAUCACACAGGUUCAGAGCAACUCUAUCAGAGAAGAAAGGAAUUAGAAAUAUAUAGAUGAGCGGAAGCUAAAAUAUUGACUAUGUCUCGUUUGCAUGUACGCUCGACCUCAACUAUAUAAUCCUGCAAACUGGACAUUUUUAAAACGAAGGGCCCAGGGGAAAACAUUCGAAAUUGUUAGAGUGAGUGGACAAAAAUAAAAUGAAUAAGUAAAAAUAAUUAACAAUAUUCAUGCUUUUCCAAUUUAAUUUCCAAAGAAAUCGAAUGCAGCCUCAAGCGAUAAAACUCUUAUCUCUUAAAUAUCAAGUCUCUCAAACUCAAUAAUGUAAAUCAAUAUAUAUGUAUGUAUCUACACACGUCCCAUACUCCUUGUAUGAAUUCUAUUAAGGAAAUAUAAGAAAAAUAGAAAUUCAUACAAGGCUACUACGCUUGCGUCUAACGCUCACGUCACGUUUUAAUGCGAUGCUACACUACACCGUUAAGGUGGACGGAUGGGUGUACUACCCCCUAUAUAAAUUAAACAUUCAUAUGGGGCUACUACGCUCGCGUCUAACGCUUACGUCACACCAUUAUACGGUUAUAUACUACGCUAUUAAGGUAGAUAAACACAUAUGGCUAGCUAGCAUUAUAUACAUACUCUCCUCAUAAAUAUACAUAUAUGUUCACUGAAAAAUCCCAUUUUUGGUAAUUCUCCAAAAGAAAUAAAAUCAUCAAAUUAAAAUGACGUCAAAUACUCCAAUAAAAGAAAUUGUUCAACAAUAAUCCAGUGCAUGCAUAUUAUUUAAAACAAAAGUUCACUCACAGAUUUAAGCUUAAACUUCCCAAUAUAAUGCCCGGAAUACUCCUCGAGCGUUGCCCCAAAAUAAAACCUUAACCUGGAAUCGAAGUCAUAAUCAAUUUCCAUCCCUUUAACACAUCAACCAAUUUACUUCCAAGAUUUACUAAGGGCACCCAAAAGGGUUUCCAUAAAUAGAAAGCUUCCAAAAAGGGAAAAUUUCUUAAAAUAGAAACUUUCCUAACUUAACAAGUUUUCCAAUAAUAAUAACCCGAACUUUCCUUUUUAGGCACUACGACUCAAAAUAGAAAGGUUGCUCAAAAACUACUUUCUCGACGCUCUGUCGGAUCUACUGCUUCGCCGGAACCCUCGCCGGAUCCCGAUGACUUGUUGGAAAACUUCACCGGAUCCGGCGACUUGCCGGAAAACUUUACCGGAUUCCAGCCACUUCCCGGAAAAUUGGCCAUAGUCUCCCUGCAUCUUCCAAUCUCCAAGUUAUCGACAAUCAUGUAGAAAAUAAACGAUUCAAACACCAACCAACCGAAACCACACAACAACAACAACAACAACAACACCGAAGUUCAAGACUUAACACUGACCUUGCUAUAAUCCUCGUCGAAACCAUGUUCACUGACAACCCAAAACCACAGUCAUGAUCGGAGGACAAUCAACCAAACACCCAAAACCACUGCCUCCUUCCGAAACAGUAACAACUUCCUCCAAACUUCUUCCAAAGCGCGUUGGGGCUCCCACCAACCACAGCUAGGCUCGCCUGAGCUCGACGGACACACUGAAACUCAAGAACAAAAGCCCUUGUCGGAGACCGAACCUCAAACCCAGAAAACAGAGAAAGCGGGAAAUCUGAUUAGGGCUCUAUAUUUGGAAAUCGAAGCUCAAGGAAGACCGAAAAACUAGAGGGAAGUGAUGAGUAUACCUUCACGAAGCACAAGCUCAUCGGAAAAGAAAUGAUUCGGCCGGAAUUUGGGUUUUGGGGAUUUAGGGUUCUUGUUUCGAUCAGACGGGAUAGAUGAUGCCUGGCAAGUUGAUGGGUAGCAGUAGAGAGAGGAGAGAGAGACAAGUCGAUUGGGGGUGGUUGCUCAACCAGCGACGGCCGGACGAGUGUAGACGACGGAGAAGAGAGAGAGAGAAGAGAGAAUAGGGUUUGGGCUUUUUCCCAAACCGGUUUCCCCGACCCCAACCAUUUAAAACCCAACUUCAAAUAAAAUACACCCCAAAAAAAUAACCCAAAAAUAUACCCUACUAAAAAUUACCUUUUUACUAAAAUUUACCCUUUUUACCGUCUUUAAUUAUUUCUCCUACGAAAUACUCGUCCCUCCAAAACACCUCUAGGGACCUUUGAAACUAUAUACUCAUUAACGAAGACGGUAAAACUCUUAUUAACACCUAGCAAGUGAUUAGGGUAAAAAUUAAGAGUCGGGGAUGUGACAAUUCUCCCCCUCUUAUUAAAAUUUCGUCCUCGAGUAUACUACAUCCACCCUGUAUACUUGCAGGAAUCCAUUCACUAUACUACAUCCACCCUGUAUACUUGCAGGAAUCCAUCAAGUUUUUGGCGCCGUUACCGGGGAUUACCCUGUCCUCCAGCCUGAGGUCGUGUGCAAUCCCUGGCAAAGUGACCUGCUUGCCCACAAGUGAAGCAUCCUUGCCUCCUGGGCUUCGUGCAGGCUGAAGAGAAGUAGCUUGACUCACCACAGGUGAAACACCUCAAGGGUGCUGCCUGCCUAAUAGGUGGAGCCCUAAUAGGUGCAGU